UACGUAUGGGGCAAGCGUUAUCCGGAAUUAUUGGGCGUAAAGAGUGCGUAGGUGGUUACCUAAGCGCAAGGUUUAAUCUUGAGGCUCAACCUCAUUCUGCCUUGCGAACUGGGCUACUUGAGUGCAGGAGGGGAAAGCGGAAUUCCCAGUGUAGCGGUGAAAUGCGUAGAUAUUGGGAAGAACACCGGUGGCGAAGGCGGCUUUCUGGACUGUAACUGACACUGAGGCACGAAAGCGUGGGGAGCAAACAGGAUUAGAUACCCGCGUAGUCCCU
rnacentral:rRNA from 1 species